GGAGCCGCCCUUCCCCCCCCCUUACAUUUCCCAUAAUCCCCAAGGAGUGGUGUCUGCGCCUGCGUGGCCCGAACUCUUAACGCAUCCCUAGCGCUAGAGGCCAGGUCCCUUAGAGACGCGAACGCACGCGAACGCUAAGACGAACGGAUGUGGCGUUCUCGGGGUGGCGGAAGUAGAAUUUUUGGAGCGACGGAAGUGGCUAGAGCGGCUGUCACAGCAUGAGACGGAGGCGAGAGGACCAGAACCUGGUGAUAGGGACCCGACUUCCGCCGAUUUCAUUCCUGAGGCCGAUGGGCAGCCCUGCGUGAGGCGAGGACGGCAGAUGCCUGAUGGGGACUCGGCCCGAGCUUCCAGGCCCCUCUUCCUUCCCCUCACGCAGCUUGGACACCAGCAGUCGCCCGUCGUUCGCCGAGCCCUGAAAGAGCAGGUGCUGGGUGUAUUGGGCAAAGAACCAGGGGCGCCCGGCGGGAGUGACUCUUGCGGAGUCUCAAGGUGCCUGUGCCUGUCCUCGGACUGGCAGCUGAGGUGACCCCCAUCCCUUUGGUCUGGCAGUCUCUGUAAGUGAAGGAGGUCCCGCGUGUAGCAGUUUUGCAUAGGCUGCACCUUUUUCUUAGGGGAAGGGAGUCGUCAACCUACACCACCACCGAAGGAUGGGGUGGCUGCAAGCUGGUCCAUGUGUGGACAGCUCGUGGGCAGGCAGCCAUGGACAUGGUAUACCACAAGCUCCCAGUCACCAUGUAGCAUCACCCUGAUGCCCACGUCAGACCUCCUUCCACCAGUGCUCAGUGUAUGAUGGCUCAACCUGGCUGUAUCCUCUACCUUGGGCCUGUCGCACACCCCAUGUCACUGCAGAUGCAUCAGGUUCCUGGAAGGAAACCCGGGAAUGGUUGGACUCUGCUGACUUGUGUCAUCAGCGUGAUGGGCCUAAGCAGGUGAUCUCAAGUCUCAGCUGUGCCCCAGCAUAGGCUCUGGCAAAACUGAAGGUACAUGUGUCUUGGGGGCCCCAGACUGUGGGUGGGGUCCAGAGGCUCUUGAAACUCCAGAUUCUUCCUGCUGUGGCUGCACUCCCCUGUGGGGCAAAGGUGGAGCUGAAGCCUCACAUCCCCUCCCACCGAAGCCUCUCCCCAGCUCAGACACACCUGGGCUUUCAGAGAAGGGAACAGAGCUUUUGAGGUGCAGGUCAGCGCUGGGUGAGUUUGGGUGCAUCCAGCUUUCCAAACCAACUCAGAGCCUACACCAGGUGACCUGUAGGGAGGGAUCUGGGGCCCAAUGGCAUUGUUGGUGAGGCCACACACUACAUGCCACCCGAGGGCUCAAUCUGCAGCCAGCUGGGUCACACUGUGCUGAAUGAGGGAGGGAACUAGUGGCACAGAUAAAGCAGUGACAGUGAAGGUCAAACAUGCAUAAGCCCGUGAGCCAGUGAAGUCCAAGCCUCAAAUACCAGUGGGCCAAGCUGCCCUAUGCCUGUGGGGCCAGCCAAGGACAGUUCAGUGAGCCACUGAGGGGAUGCAGCCAGCUGGGAGCAUCAUCUGUUCAUGAUUGUGUCCAAGGGCAGGGUGGGGGGCUGAGAUGCAAAUGAAGGUUGAGGGCCAUAGGUCAACCAGAGUGACAGAUGACCACAGGCAGCCAGCACCAACUGGUGGGCGGAGACAAGCUUAGGGAGGCAACCUGUGGUGUAAUGAGCUCCUUUAUAAGAUUUUUUGCCUUAGCUCUUUAGGAAAACAACUCGGGAGAUUUUCCCCCUAUGCCCUGAGGAGUUUUUACCUUUGUCCUAAUCCUUUGGAGAAGGUACGGAAGGCUCCCAGGUUGUUUUCUUCCCCCCAAAAUUUGUUAUGUUUGUCCAGGUGAUUCUCCAGGCUGGUCUGGUGAGGGAGGCCCUGCCUUGUAACCAGGGCUUCAAACUGGUUCCUUCCGGUUCAAACCCCUGCUGGGAAUUUUAGUUUUCACCCCAGAUACACUGAAUCAGAAUGUACAUCUUAACAACAUCCCCAAGUGACUCUUAAGAAUGAUAAAUUUUGAGAACCGCUGCUGUAUGAGUGGUUCUCAAAAUUGGUCCCAAAUCACCAUAGUUUCAGGGGACAUCUAAGUCAAUUGACAUAAUAAAAUCUAUUAAGAAAACAUUCUGCAUCCCACCUUGGAGAGUGGCACAUGGGGUCUUAAACGCUAGCAAGCAGCCAUCUAAGAUGCAUCAGUUGGGUCUCAACCCACCUGGAUCAAAGGAGAAUGAAGAACACCAAGGACUCAAGGUAAUUACGAGCCCAAGAGACAGAAAGGGCCACAUAAACCAGAGACUACAUCAUCCUGAGACCAGAAGAACUAGAUGGUGCCCGGCUACAACCAAUGACUGCCCUGACAGGGAGUACAACAGAGAAUCCCUGAGGGAGCAGGAGAGCAGUGGGAUGCAAAGCUCAAAUUCUCAUAAAAAGACCAGACUUAAUGAUCUGACUGACACUAGAAAGACCCUGGCGGUCAUGGCCCCCAGACCUUCUGUUGGCCCAGGACAGGAACCAUUCCCAAAGCCAACUCUUCAGACAUAGAUUGGACUGGACAAUGGGUUGGAGAGGGACGCUGGUGAGGAGUGAGCUUCUUGGGUCAGGUGGACACUUGAGACUAUGUUGGCAUCUCCUGCCUGGAGGGGAGAUGAGAGGGUAAAGGGGGUUAGAAGCUGGCAAAAUGGACAUAAAAAGAGAGUGGAGGGAGUGGGCUGUCUCAUUAGAGAGCAAUUGGGAGUAUAUAGCAAGAUGUAUGUAAGUUUUUACGUGAGAGACUGACUUGAUUUGUAAACUUUCACUUAAAGUGCAAUAAAAAAAAAAAAAAAAAAAAAUCGGUCCCAAAUCAACAGCAUUAGCAUCACAACGGAACUUGUUAGAAACUCAAAUUCUCAGCCGGGGUUCAAACCUGAAUGAAAUGGUUGUAAGCCCUGCUUGGAACUGAUGAGGAUCAGGACAAAGAAGUGGCAAAGGUUUAAGAAACUUCCUGAUCGAGAGGGUAAACUGUCUCCAUACAAUUUCCAAGUCAGGAAAGGUGUGCAUCAGGGUUGUAUUUUUUCACCAUAUCUAGUCAAUCUGUAUGCUUAACAAAUAAUCCAAGAAGCUGGACUAUAUGAAGACGAACAGGGCAUCAGGAUUGGAGGAAGACUCAUUAACAACCUGCGUUAUGCAGGUGACACAACCUUGCUUGCUGAUUAAAGUGAAGACUUGAAGCACUUACUGAUGAAGAUCAAAGACCACAGCCUUCAGUAUGGAUUGCACCUCAACAUAAAACAAAAAUCCUCACAACUGGACCAAGGAGCAACAUCAUGAUAAACGGAGAAAAGAUUGAAGCUGUCAAGGAUUUCAUUUUACUUGGAUCCACAUUCAACAGCCAUGGAAGCAGCAGUCAAGAAAUCAAGACUCAUUGCAUUGGGCAAAUCUGCUGCAAAGGACCUGUUCAAAGUGUUGAAAAGCAAAGAUGUCGCCCUGAAGACUAAGGUGCGCCUGACCCAAGUCAUGGUAUCUUCAAUAACAUGCACAUGGAAGCUGGACAAUGAAUAAGAAGACCGAAAAAGAGCUGACAGCUUUGAAUUGUGGUGCUGGCGAAGAAUAUUGGAUAUACCAUGGACUGCCAAAAGCAUGAACAAAUCUGUCUUGAAAGAAAUGUGGCCAGAAUGCUCCUUAGAGGCAAAGGUGGCGAGACUGCGUCUUACAUACUUUGGACAUGUUGUCAGGAGGGAUCAGUCCCUGGAGAAGGACAUCAUGCUUGGCAGAGUACAGGGCUGGCGGAAAAGAGGAAGACCCUCAACAAGGUAGAUUGACACGGUGGCUGCAACAAUGAGCUCAAGCAUUACAAUGACUGUAAGGAUUGCGCAGGACUAGGCAGUCUUUCGUUCUGUUGUGGAUAGGGUUGCUAUUGAGUUGGAACUGACUCAACGGCACCUAACAACAACAACAUACGCUUUCCAGGGAGCUCCUGGUGGAUACCAGCAGCCAACCUUUUGGUUAUCAGCCAUAACUCUCAACCACUACACCAUCAAGGUUUCCAGUUAAGAGAGAGAUGCUAAGAGCUGGGCCGGCAGGGAAGUAGAGCCACGUGGGUGCCUGGUGGUCCUGAAGCUGCUACACUGGCUAUGAACUGGGCCAGUUAGCAGCAAAGGCCAGAAGCUGAGCAUACUCCUACAAUGGCUGUGAGCUGGGCCAGUUAGUGGCAGAGAGGCCGUCACAGCGGGGCGAGGCCUGCUUGGCAGAGAAGGCAGCCCAACAGAGAAGUCACACCCACUGACCACUGGAGGCCUGUGUGCCUCCUAACGCUGAUCAAGUUGUUCUUGCUACUUUCAAAUUGAUCCUGAUCCUGAGCUGCAGCUGGCUAUUUCCCUAAUAAACCAUAUAACCACGCGUAUGGUCUGGAGUACCGUGUGGUCACUACGAUGAAUUAUCGAACCAUGCAGAGAAGUAGAGAAUGCCAUGGGGGGAACAGCUGGUGUCACAUGGUAAAGUUGGAGAGCGGAGUUUAAGUCUGACCUCCACCUCAUAGGAACCACCUUUAUGCUGAUCUGAUUUUUAUCUCCCAAGAAUUUAGACAAAUCAUUUCAUGAUACACACGGAUAACCAGGGGAGCUGGCUCAUGGCCUCACAGUGCCCUGGUAGGACAUGACUAUGACCACCUCGAGCAGGAAGGGGACACAACUGAGGUGGCCAAGGUCACACGCCAAAUGCCCAUUAAGCCAAAUCACUUUGGCAAGUUUUCAAACCUUCCCUUCUCUGGAUCCUAAGAACCGUUUGUCCCGACAGCAGAUGGCCGAGUCCCACCAUCCUCCAGUGAGAGCACGCACACACGGCUCAGUACAAAAGCCAACACUUUAAUGAGAUGGAGCAGCGACAGCGUGGACGUACCACUACAACGGAUAGCGCCAGCUGCGCACACCACCACUGUCAUAACAAGCGAGCAGAGGGACAAACUACAAACCCUUCAACGUUCCAAAGGUCCUGAGUAGAGAGAAUUGUUUAUUUAACCACAUAAAAUGCAUAUAUAGGAAACUUCUCUAUUUAGGAGCUGGCGGCCUGCACGCAGCAUUGCACAGAUAAAAAUAUACGACUUUCAACACAGAUCGAAAUACCUUCACAUUUUAAAAAUCAGAAUUCUCUACACAAGUCUCAAGCUGACAGAAUCCAAGUUGAGUUUUCAUAUACAGCUUUCACUUGUAUACAACACAUGUUUAUUUACAACAUUGACAGAGAGUAAGGGACUGUUAAGGCCAUUUUCUCGUAUUGUACUGUUAAACACCGCAAAAUAUGUACAUAAGUACAACCUAAUAUAGGCAAAGGUUCUAAAAAUCAUUUUUCUUGGUUUAACGUAAUUGAGCAUCAGUAUGGGGAGAGGAGACAGCUUGUCUUUAGCACCGAGCUCCACCACCGUCACCGUGUGCACUUCUGUUCCUUCCACCAGCCACUAGGCUGGGGGUGCCCCGUGCUUAAAAGGGUAUGUGCCUCACACCCAGGCACAGGGUCGUGGGUAGGUGCACAGGCCGGCCAGCUGAGGGGCACCUCACUGCCCUCUCAAUUCCACCUUGAAAUUCAUAACAAGGUCCAAAGAAUCAAUGGCAUUCCCAAAGGGAGCCAUGCAGAAGGGACAGUCACAAGGUGUGUGGCAUGAGGGCUGGGGCGGGGGGGGCAGGACUCCAUGCCCUGAGAAGCAGCUGUCCAGCAGCCACUAUAGGGCCCUGCGCUCACCUGCGAUGUCUGCUGUGCCCCGGGUGGUCCCGCUCGUAGCGGCGACCCGUUCGCUCAUAUGACCGAGAACGCUCCCGCCUCUCAUCUCGGUAGUAAUGACUUUUCUUCUUGUAUUUUCCAGGAUUCUCUGCCCGCUCCCGUGAGCGGCUACGAGAGCGGGAUGAGCUCCGGCUCCGGGACUUUGGAGGCUUCUGGGCGGGGUACUUGCAGUCCCUGGACUUGGUGUAGCUCCUCACCUUGGAGCCUUUGUACGGGGCACCAGGGCGCACCUGUCUUGGGGGUGAGUCACUGCGACUCCGUGAGCGGCUCUGAGACUUGGACCCACUGGAUGUCGACCCGCUGUCACUUUUCCUGGAGGAGAGGGGAGGGAGGCACCACCACUCCGGUGACUGACUGUCCCAACCAGAACCCAUGGACACGCUGUGGGGGGCUCACAGAGACAUGGGCCCCCACUCCACAGAGAAACCUGCCUCUACCUGACUGUACCCCAGGUGAGCUGAGAUGCACAUACCUUCUCUUUGGGGAGGCAGACCCUGACCGGGAUCUUGAGGGGCUCUGCUCACGGCUCCGGCUCUGGCUCUCUCUCCCCUUUGGCAAGCUGUGAGGGAGAAACAGUCAGACCUGUGGUCCUCCUAGUUAGUUAGCCCCCAGCUGCCACAAAGGCAGUGUGUGGCAGGUGGUCUUACCCGUUCACAGGGCUGUCAGCCUUGGCUUUCUUUGAGGCCUCUGGUUUCCUCUUGGUGUUCUUCACGGACAAUGGAGAGGGCUUACUCCCUUUGCUUUCUUUGGGAGAUUCUACUAGAAUCAAGUAUGGGGAGUUAAAAAAUGAUCAUCAGAAAGCUGUUUCAAUAAGGGGCAAGACUCAGCAGAGUAAGACACGGCCACUCCAUGGUACGGAUGGGACAUAAGCUAGCAGGGACUUUCCGUUCCUGGCCUGAAACUCGAAACCUCACACAAAUCAAAGAUGCAGACAGGCCACGUGUAGCCCUCAUUUGUCAGGAGCAGGGGCUUCUAGUAUCUGCUACAAACUUUUCAUCAAAGGACAAGUUCAUCGGGUGGAUCAGAUGACCAGGAACAUUCUGGAAGCCUGCCCACAUUCCCUGUUAUGAUCAUAGAAACAGCGUGCUCCUCCAGGGGCCCCAGUCACAUGCACAGAUUUCCAGCGGUCAUUGGGACCUGAUGCACGCAAAGAGCUCAAGCAGGCUGCUGACUGAAUCCCAACAGGGCUCUAAGAGAAGGCAGGGAGGCACAUCCCCAGAUGAGGGCUCAGGCUCUGUGCUCCCCACACUCACCAAGCUUGGGGGCGGGAGAGAAUCCGGAUGUGCCGUCCAGAACCUGUGUGCCACCAGCAAGCAGGCCCUUUGCCUGUGCCUUUGCCUCCUCGAUGGCAUGUUUUCUCUUUUCCACUUCACUUUCCAGGUGUGUCAGAUCAACCUGUAAAAGGCACCACCACUGAUUCAGAACCAGAUGUUUCUGACCAAACACAAAUGUAUGUGUCACACAGAAAAGCAUAAAAGAACCUUUUUCCGGGUAUACAGCUGCAGGAUUUUUAAGCAGAUCUCCUGGAUUUCUUCUUCAGUUGCUCCAAACAAAAGAAACCAGUGGGGACGAUUAGGCAGAGGAAUCUGCAAACACAAACACCACGACAUUACACUUUUCUCAGCAUGUCAGACCAACAAGGGUGUUUUAGGUACUUGAGUGGUGUGCUUUUAGGGGCCCGGCAGAGGCACAUCUGAAGCAGCACACACAGGUGUCUCCAGGUGAACACUGACCUCGAGCGUGCGGGCGGCGAGGUAAAUGCAGGCGCAGGCGAUGCUCUCAGGCUGGAACCUUACAAACACGUCUGUGCGAAGGCUGUCGUUCAUGUAGUUCCUGAAAAGCAAAAGCCAAGGAAUUGCAGCACCCGGCACCCUGACCUCCGUCCACACAUCUAGGUAAGGCGCGCCCCCUCUAAGUGGUCUACUGUCAGGGCUGAGGGCGUGGCAGUUGUGGGAGCCUCAAGAGCUAGUGGAGAAACAUCCUAGCCACUUUUUCCGUAUAUAGGACAGGGAGACAGAAAUUAUUAAAAAAGAAGAAAAAAAAAAAAAGCUGGCUGAAUGUCAGACAA